rnacentral:rRNA from 1 species
UACGGAGGGAGCAAGCGUUACUCGGAAUUAUUGGGCGUAAAGGGCGCGUAGGCGAUUUGACAAGUCAACUGUGAAAGCCCAGAGCUUAACUCUGGAAGUGCAGCUGAGACUGUUGAAUUUGAGUAUAGGAGAGGAAGGCAGAAUUCCCGGUGUAGCGGUGAAAUGCGUAGAUAUCGGGAGGAAUACCAGUGGCGAAGGCGGCCUUCUGGACUAUAACUGACGCUGAGGCGCGAAAGCUAGGGGAGCGAACGGG